ensembl:lncRNA
CUCUCCUCAGGGACUAACUACAGCAGGGGGUUUAAACCUCUCCUCAGGGACUCCCUACAGCAGGGGUUUAAACCUCUCCUCAGGGACUCCUUACAGCAGGGGGUUUAAACCUCUCCUCAGGGACUAACUACAGCAGGGGGGUUUAAACCUCUCCUCAGGGACUCCUUACAGCAGGGGGUUUAAACCUCUCCUCAGGGACUCCUUAUAGCAGGGGGUUUAAACCUCUCCUCAGGGACUCCUUACAGCAGGGGGGUUUAAACCUCUCCUCAGGGACUCCCUACAGCAGGGGGUUUAAACCUCUCCUCAGGGACUAACUACAGCAGGGGGUUUAAACCUCUCCUCAGGGACUAACUACAGCAGGGGGUUUAAACCUCUCCUCAGGGACUCCCUACAGCAGGGGGUUUAAACCUCUCCUCAGGGACUAACUACAGCAGGGGGUUUAAACCUCUCCUCAGGGACUAACUACAGCAGGGGGUUUAAACCUCUCCUCAGGGACUAACUACAGCAGGG